ACAAAGAGUGGCGGACGGGUGAGUAACACGUGGGUAACCUACCUCUUAGCAGGGGAUAACAUUUGGAAACAAGUGCUAAUACCGUAUAAUACCAACAACCGCAUGGUUGUUGGUUGAAAGAUGGUUCUGCUAUCACUAAGAGAUGGACCCGCGGUGCAUUAGCUAGUUGGUAAGGUAACGGCUUACCAAGGCAAUGAUGCAUAGCCGAGUUGAGAGACUGAUCGGCCACAAUGGGACUGAGACACGGCCCAUACUCCUACGGGAGGCAGCAGUAGGGAAUCUUCCACAAUGGGCGCAAGCCUGAUGGAGCAACGCCGCGUGUGUGAUGAAGGGUUUCGGCUCGUAAAACACUGUUAUAAGAGAAGAACGGCACUGAGAGUAACUGUUCAGUGUGUGACGGUAUCUUACCAGAAAGGAACGGCUAAAUACGUGCCAGCAGCCGCGGUAAUACGUAUGUUCCAAGCGUUAUCCGGAUUUAUUGGGCGUAAAGCGAGCGCAGACGGUUAUUUAAGUCUGAAGUGAAAGCCCUCAGCUCAACUGAGGAAUGGCUUUGGAAACUGGAUGACUUGAGUGCAGUAGGGGAAAGUGGAACUCCAUGUGUAGCGGUGAAAUGCGUAGAUAUAUGGAAGAACACCAGUGGCGAAGGCGGCUUUCUGGACUGUAACUGACGUUGAGGCUCGAAAGUGUGGGUAGCAAACAGGAUUAGAUACCCUGGUAGUCCACACCGUAAACGAUGAGUGCUAGAUGUUCGAGGGUUUCCGCCCUUGAGUGUCGCAGCU
rnacentral:rRNA from 1 species